AUUGAACGCUGGCGGCAUGCCUAACACAUGCAAGUCGAGCGAGCGGCGGACGGGUGAGGAAUGUCUGGGAACCUGCCUGAUGGAGGGGGAUAACUACUGGAAACGGUAGCUAAUCCCGCAUACCAUCAGAUGUGGCCAGAUGGGAUUAGCUGGUCGGUGGGGUAAUGGCUCACCUAGGCGACGAUCCCUAGCUGGUCUGAGAGGUUGACCAGCCACACUGGGACUGAGACACGGUCCAGACUCCUACGGGAGGCAGCAGUGGGGAAUAUUGCACAAUGGGCGCAAGCCUGAUGCAGUCAUGCCGCGUGUGUGAAGAAGGCCUUCGGGUUGUAAAGCACUGUCAGCGGGGAGGCGUUACCCGCAGAAGAAGCACCGGCUAACUCCGUGCCAGCAGCCGCGGUAAUUC
rnacentral:rRNA from 1 species